rnacentral:rRNA from 1 species
UACGUAGGGUGCGAGCGUUAAUCGGAAUUACUGGGCGUAAAGUGUGCGCAGGCGGUUUCGCAAGUCAAGUGUGAAAGCCCCGGGCUUAACCUGGGAACUGCGCUUGAAACUACGGAACUCGAGUAUGGCAGAGGAAGGUGGAAUUCCUGGUGUAGCAGUGAAAUGCGUAGAUAUCCGGAGGAACACCAGUGGCGAAGGCGGCUUUCUGGACCGACACUGACGCUGAUGCGCGAAAGCGUGGGGAGCAAACAGG